rnacentral:rRNA from 1 species
UACGGGAGGCAGCAGUGGGGAAUAUUGCACAAUGGGCGCAAGCCUGAUGCAGCCAUGCCGCGUGUAUGAAGAAGGCCUUCGGGUUGUAAAGUACUUUCAGCGGGGAGGAAGGCGAUGCGGUUAAUAACCGCGUCGAUUGACGUUACCCGCAGAAGAAGCACCGGCUAACUCCGUGCCAGCAGCCGCGGUAAUACGGAGGGUGCAAGCGUUAAUCGGAAUUACUGGGCGUAAAGCGCACGCAGGCGGUCUGUUAAGUCAGAUGUGAAAUCCCCGGGCUUAACCUGGGAACUGCAUUUUGAACUGGCAGGCUUGAGUCUUGUAGAGGGGGUAGAAUUCCAGGUGUAGCGGUGAAUGCGUAGAGAUCUGGAGGAAUACCGGUGGCGAAGGCGGCCCCUGGGACAAGACUGACGCUCAGGUGCGAAAGCGUGGGGAGCGAAACAGGGAUUAGAUACC